rnacentral:rRNA from 1 species
AUUGAACGCUGGCGGCAGGCCUAACACAUGCAAGUCGAACGAGUGGCGGACGGGUGAGUUAUGUCUGGGAAACUGCCUGAUGGCGGGGGAUAACUAAUGGAAACGGUAGCUAAUACCGCAUAACAUCAGAUGUGCCCAGAUUGGAUUAGAUUGUUGGUGGGGUAACGGCGCACCAAGGAGACGAUCCCUAGCUGGUAUGAGAGGAUGAACAGCCACUCUGAAACUGAGACGCGGUCCAGAAGCCUACGGGAGGCAGCGGUGGGAAAUCUUGCACAAUUGGCGCAAGCCUGAUGCAGCCAUGCCGCGUGUAUGAAGAGGGCCUUCGGGUUGUGAAGUACUUUCAGCGGGGAGGCGUUACCCGAAGAAGAAGCACCGGCUAACUCCGUGCCAGCAGCCGCGGUAAUAC